GAUGGAAUCGCCAGGAAAGAGGCAGCGGCUUGUGCGCACUUACGACUCUGCUGGUCUGGCUGUUUCAUCAACCUACUUUCUGGAGAGCAAAGUAUGAAUCACACCUUCCACACCCAUACCGAGUAGCAACGGUUUUGUAAGUUCCCUAGCAACCUCAUUGAUUAGUUUUGCUGUAUGUUGCUCGGUACAUGACAAUUGAGUAUAUAUUGCCACUUGUCAGACAUCAUUGUCUACGCAGAACACAGAAUCAAACGAGUGCUUCAUUCUUCGUUUCGCUCGCAUUCUACCAGUGUUUCAUGCAUCCUCCUUAUACUUCAUUUUGUGUGGGCAUAGAUAGUAAGGUUCAAAUUUGGAGUUUGCCUCUACCUUUUCAAGUGCCCAUGUGGUCGAAACUGAAUAUUAAAGCAUCCUUCAAUCUACAUGAACUCUCGGCUUCUGCCUGCCGCACUUAUCGGAGCCACUCUACCGCUUAUGCCAGGUAGUGUAUGCAGUAUUGCAGACUUGCAGUAAACUGGUUGGUCAGGCGCUCUGCUGCUGAGAUGGGACAAUAUCGUUUAAGAGCGGGCGGGCAUUGCAUCCGCACACUAGCCAUUCGUUUGUGACCUUGACUCAUGGGUCAGGGUUGGCGUUCGGUCUUUAAAUCAUUUGAAGACUUCGGUUAGCUGGAAAUGACAACAAAAAUUUAGUACAAAAUUGUCAAGACUGAACAAUUCACUUGCACUCAGUUCGUGCUCGGGGUCAGUCUCGACCAAACUAACCGAUCAUAAAAUCAUAAAAAAAUAAAAUCAACCACUACCAGACGUGCCACUGCAUACAACCCGCUAACUCUCUCUCUCUCUCUCUCAAAGAGAAGAAAAACAAAAGAAGGGUCAACAGGAUCCACAUAAUUAAAAUACAACCCGGUUUCUUAAAAACAAAGAAAUAGGAAGCAAAAGCUUACCAAGUCUACGAGUCAAGGUCACCGCUGCAUACAACAGUGGCAUUGUGACUCAUGGGGUUGGCGUUCGGUCACAUCGUUUCGGUCUUUAAAUCAUUUGAAUAGUUCGGUUGGGUGGAAAUGACAACCAAUUUUGGUACAAAAUUGUCAAGACCGGUCAGUUCGUUCUCGGGUCACUCUUGACAAAACAAACCGAUCGUAUAUUUAAAAAAUAAAAUAAAAUCAAGCAUCACCAGUCACUCUCGAUCGUCAAAAUAUACUAGAAAUAUAGCAGGGUAAUUAGAAUUGUCAGACUUUUUUAUCUUUUAUUUAUUGUUUAUUUUCUCCUAAAAUUCAAUCGCUUAUAUUAAUGUGGCACCCUAUCUCUAGAAUAAUGGGAGUAAAGUAAAUAUCCACGUAUUUAAAAUACAACAACAACAACAACAACAACUUAGCCUUUUGUCCCAAGCAAGUUGCGGUAGGCUAGAGAUGAAACCCACAGAAAACAAGAAUAAGAAACACAGAAAGGGUACAAACCAAAGGAACAGUUAGGGGUUUAAUAAAAAGUAACAAACGUCACGGUUCAGGUACGCUAAUUGCUAAUCUCCAAGCGCUCCUAUCCAAUGCUAAUUUCUUAGCGAUAUUCCACUCCUUAAGGUCUCUCUUGACCGUCUCGUCCCAAGUUAGUCUAGGUCUACCUCUACCUCUCCUUACAUUAUCUCCCCGUUUUAAAACUCCACUACGCACCGGCGCCUCGGGAGGCCUCCGUUGUACAUGUCCAAACCAUCUCAACCGAUGUUGAAUCAACUUCUCCUCGAUAGGUGCCACCCCGACCCUAUCUCGAAUCUCUUCGUUCCGGACUCUAUCCCUUCUUGUAUGCCCGCAGAACCAACGCAGCAUACGCAUCUCCGCUACACUCAGUUGCGGACAUAUCUCCUUUUUGUAGGCCAACAUUCAGCACCGUAUAGCAUCGCCGGGUGAAUCGCCGUCCUAUAGAACUUACCUUUUAGCCUCUGUGGCACCUUCUUGUCACAGAGGACGCCAGAAGCCUGCCGCCACUUCAACCAACCGGCUGAAAUUUUAUGCCUAACAUCUUCAUCAAUGUCUCCAUCUUUCUGAAGCAUGUAUCCUAGAUACCGAAAAGUAUCCUUCUUGGCCACCACUUGACCUUCGAGGCUAACAUCCCCAUCCUCAUGCCUAGUCGGGCUAAAGUCGCACAUCAUAUACUCGGUCUUGGUCCUACUCAGUCUGAACCCCCUCGACUCUAACGUGUGUCUCCACAGCUCCAACUUCAUAUUAACCCCUGCCCUACUCACGUCAACUAGCACCACAUCAUCAGCAAAGAGCAUACACCAAGGGAUAUCACCCUGUAUGUCCCUUGUGACCUCAUCCAUCACCAAAGCAAAUAGAUAAGGGCUCAAUGCUGACCCCUGAUGUAGUCCUAUUUUAAUUGGAAAGUCACUGGUAUCGCCAUCACAUGUUCGAACACAAGUCAUCGCAUCCUUGUACAUAUCCUUUAAAAAACAACGCGGUUUCUAAAAAAGAAAAAGCAAAAGCUUGCAAAGUUACUUGUGAUUGAACCUUUGCUUUUUUAAAAAAGAAAAAGCAAAAGCUUGCAAAGUUUCAUGAUGUUCGUAUUUUUCUAGAUUUAUUGCAGGAUCUAAACGACGUUAUUGUUUCAGUGGUAACCGGUCCUAUUUUUUCAGUGGUAACUGGCUCUAUUUCUUUCAGUGGUCGGUGACGUGCCCGUCAACAACGAGUCGUCUGUGAUGACUUCGUCAAUCUUAAAGAUCUGCCAGUUCAGUCUCUCGAGGGUACUUGUAAGAGUAGAGCUGCGUAUGUGUAUUCAUAAAUAUGCGUACAUGUAUAUGAGUGUCUGCGUGUGCAUUGUGUUUCGGAGAAAAAACUUACUAAGUCUACGAGUCAGGGUGACGUGAUCGAGCGAUUGGAAAGUGUGUGCAUGCAACGAGCACAGAGAAACAACUGAGGUGAAAUCAAACGGGACGAGCUAAUAUUAAUACACAACUAAAGUCCUUCUAACUAUUUAAAUAACAUCUAUCCAAAUAAUUAAUUUAACCAGCAAAUGGAUUAGCUGGUCCACAAACGAUAUUAUACGGUGGCGACUCGAGCCUUUGAGCGAGCAAGCAUCCCAUUUGUGGCGAGCACACAUACUUCGUCUUCUCGCUCGGCAGAGAGAUAUGAGAGAUACAGAGUGUUGCCGGAGAUAUAAUAGACAAAAGCAGGUGUGGAUCGCUUGGACCAGGAAUGGUUGUUCUUUUCGUUCAAUUUACUCCUGGCACACCGCUGUUCGAUUUUCUUCUUUCUUUCUUUUGGUUUCUUGAUAUAUUCGUAUUGACCCGUCUGUGCUCGCCGUGUUUUGGUUUCACAGGUCUUAGCUAGAUACCUCACAACACGAGGCUCUGCUCGGCGUGUCAAGUGGGAGAUGCUCGUGCUGCUUGGACUAUUGCUUCUUUGCCGUGGAAUCGGCAGCACCCAUGGCUCACCGGACGACCACGCCGGCGACGGCGACAUGAUGUCGCUGCUGGAUUUCAAGAGGGCCAUCACCAGCGACCCAAAGCGAGCUCUAGCCACAUGGAACACAAGCAACCCCUUGUGCAGGUGGGCUGGGGUCGCGUGCGGCCGGGCGCACCGGGGGCGUGUGAUCACAUCGCUGGGACUCGCAGGCCAGGACCUCGAAGGUGAAAUCACCUCCUCUCUUGGAAAUCUCACGUUUCUGAAGACGCUGAACCUGUCCGAGAACAGCUUCUCAGGCCGCUUGCCUCCUCUGGGCCGUCUCGGCAAACUGGAGGUCCUUGAUCUGAGCCGGAACUCGUUGCGCGAUGCUAUCCCAGAUGGAAUCGCCAAUUGCUCCAGCCUUCGUAUACUUGACCUCUCUGAAAACUCUCUAGUCGGUGAACUCCACCCUAAACUCGGCUUACUUUCUGGUCUCUCAGCUUUAGAUCUACACGGGAAUAGACUCAGAGGAACCAUCCCACCGUCCCUCGACAAUAUGACUCACCUAAAAGUACUCGGUCUAGAAAAUAAUAGCCUGUCAGGAAGUAUCCCUGCUGAGCUUGGAAAAUUAUCGAAUUUGUGGAUCUUGUCUCUAGGUGAAAAUAUAUUAUCAGGCGGCAUACCACGUUGCUUGGGAAAUCUCCAACAACUCAGGUGGAUGGAACUUGAUAACAACAAUCUCAGGGGUAAAAUACCAGUUACCUUGGGGAAUCUCCAACAGCUCAAAUUGAUGGAUCUUAGUCACAGCAAUCUCAGUGGUAAAAUACCACGUACCUUGGGGAAUCUCCAACAACUCAUAAUGAUGAACCUCAGUAACAACAAUCUCAGGGGUAAAAUACCAGUUACCUUGGGGAAUCUCCAACAGCUCCAAUUGAUGGAUCUUAGUCACAACAAUCUCAGUGGUAAAAUACCGCGUACUUUGGAGAAUCUCCAACAACUCAUGUGGAUGGACCUUAAUAACAAUAAUCUCCGUGGUAAAAUACCACGUACAUUGGGGAAUCUCCAACAGCUCUUAUCCAUGGAUCUUAGUCACAACAAUCUCGAAGGUGAUAUACCAUCCAAUUUGGGUGACCUUGGUCAACUCUACCACCUGGAUCUUAGCGACAACAAACUUAAAGGUAUCAUACCUUAGGAAGUCAUUCUGUACUUGCACAGUAUUCAGCCGCACCAUCCUGUAAUAGUACUCGUUUCAAGGUUCAAUACGCGUAGAUCGCAAGUUUGCUCCAGCAAUCUCACCGCACCACGGUGGACUGGAAGCGAGCCUCACUUGAGAAAUACAUGUAAUUCACUGUGAGCUGAUUCGUCUGAUGAAAAGAUCCCAUGAUCUCAUUUUUGUGGUACACCUUCCUGGUAUAUGUUAAUGACACGAAAAGUGUUUCCUGUUUGCUACUGGCAUAAACUUGAUCUCUUUUUUUCCAACCUUCGCACGUCAAUUUUUCAUAGUCGUACGAGUGCAGAGAGAAAAGGCUACGUAAAGUGUCACAAGAAAGUGGAUGCACGAACGGAAUUACGGCUGUUUAACUAUCACUAUCAGUUGGAGUGGCUUCAAUCGGCAUGACGGCAAACCGAGCGCCAAAGGCCGCCGCCGCACUCGAUCGCCGAAGCCGGCCGACUUCAGUUGGACGGGUUGCCGGUUCCUGCAGCUACAUCUGCAGACCUGUCGGACACGGGGGACAGUUCUUCAGUUCAACUUGCAUCCUGGCAAAGCCAUCAAACUCGUAUGUUCUUUUUUUUUCGUUUUAUUUGUGUACUCGUGUGCUGACAUGACAUCUUCAUGCGUGGCACCUUGCAGAGAUAUCGAGCUUCUGAGGUGAACGAAGGGAAGCACACCAUGCCUGUAACACUGCCGCUGCUGCUGCUGUUCUGCAUCGGGCGUGUAUGCAGUAUUGCACACAGGUUGCAGUAAUAAAUACAAUCCGGUUUCUCAAAAACAAAAAGCAAAAGCUUACCAAGUCUACGAGUCUUUCGAAAAAAUAAUCUACGAGUCAAGGUCACCGCAGCAUGCAACAACAGCGUGAUUGAGCGAUCGGAAAGUGUGUGGAUGCAACGAGCACCAAGGAAUAGAUUUAUACGGGCACGCAUACUUCGUCUUCUCGCUUGGCAGAAAGCUAGAUAGGGUAGAUACAGUUCCGAGUGUUGCCGGAGUUCAAAUAAACCAAAGCGGGUGCGGAUCGCUUGGACCAGAAAUGGUUGUUCUUUUCGUUCAAUUUACCCCUGGCAUAGCGCUCUUCGAUUUUCUUCUUUCUUUCUUUUGGUUUCUUGAUAUACUCGUAUUGACCCGUCUGUGCUCGCCGUGUUUUGGUUUCACAGGUCUUAGCUAGAUACCUCACAACACGAGGCUCUGCUUGGCGUGUCAAGUGGGAGAUGCUCGUGCUGCUUGCACUAUUGCUUCUUUGCCGUGGAAUCGGCAGCACCCAUGGCUCACCGGACGACCACGCCGGCGACGGCGACAUGAUGUCGCUGCUGGAUUUCAAGAGGGCCAUCACCAGCGACCCAAAGCGAGCUCUAGCCUCAUGGAACACAAGCAACCCCUUGUGCAGGUGGGCUGGGGUCGCGUGCGGCCGGGCGCACCGGGGGCGUGUGAUCUCGUUGGGACUCUUAGAUCAAGGCCUCGAAGGUGAAAUCACCUCCUCUCUUGGAAAUCUCACGUUUCUGAGGACGCUGAACCUGUCCGAGAACAGCUUCUCCGGUCGAUUGCCUCCUCUGGCUCAUCUCGGCAAACUGAAGGUCCUUGAUCUGAGCCAGAACUCGUUGCGCGAUGCUAUCCCAGAUGGAUUGGCCAAUUGCUCCAGCCUUCGUAUACUUAACCUCUCUUACAACUCUCUAGUCGGUGAACUUCACCCUAAACUUGGCUUAAUUUCUGGUCUCUCAGCUUUAUUUCUACGUCAGAAUAGACUCACAGAAAUCAUCCCACCGUCCCUCGACAAUAUGACUCACCUAGAAAUACUCGAUCUAGGAAACAAUAGGCUGUCAGGAAGUAUCCCUGCUGAGCUUGGAAUAUUAUCGAAUUUGUAGAAUUUGUAUCUGUUUGAAAAUAGUUUAUCAGGCGGCAUACCACAGUCCUUGCUUAAUCUGUCCUCUCUACAGAUUCUAGCUUUGGGUCAGAAUAUGCUAGGGGGAGUGUUGCCGCCAAACAUUGGUGAUGCGCUCCCUAAUCUCCGAUGAUUUUCUUUAUACGACAACAUGUUUGGUGGUCACAUCCCAGCUUCCAUAGGCAACUGCUCAAAGAUAGAGUCUAUCUAUUUAGGAUCUAACAAUUUCUCUGGUCUAGUUCCUCGUUCUUUCGGCAAGCUUACCUGUUCUUUGACAAGUUUCUUCUAGAGAUUGCACCAUGCUUGCCUGCUUGGUGAACUUGAAGCAAACCUUCCAAAAGAAAAUACAAUAUUUACAUGUCAGCGGAGUUGUCUAAUGUAAAUAUUGCAGAAUCCCUGGUACACUUUCCAGUGAUAUGUUAAAACAACUGACGAAAAAUUCUUUUCUUUUUGUUAUUUGCAUAAACCUGUUCUCCCAGAAACACUCAAGUGCUAUAUGAUACUGUAUUACGCAAAUCAGAACACCUGCAGCACUGCAAAGAAAUCUGUUUUGCCUUUGAAGGUCGAAACUGUAUACACAUAUAUAAUUUUCGAGUUCCAAUCCAUUUUUUCAAAGAAAACAAGAUGAUGUAUAGCAUGCUUCUGAUAACCAUGAUGCUGUACAAACAAUUGCAACUAGCGCAUGUAUCGUGGCAACUUUAAUCAAAAGAAAAAUAGAGAAAUCUCCCAUGCUACAGUGGACGGGAUCUUUGCUCCUCUGAGGCAAAACGGGUAAUCCUACCUACAGGCUGGGAGGAUGGCUCCCCAGAACAAUAGAGAAAUCUCACCAUUGUUGUCAGAUAGCAAGGUCGUCUGAUGGUUUUCAGUCUUUAACAAGAAGCACGAACACCAAUCAUCUUUGUUUAUUAAGCAUCGGACAAAAAUGUAAUUCACUACUAUAUAGUUCUAUUAAUAUUAUCCAGGCAAUAAUUUGUAUGCAGCAAUAGUAUCAUGAAACUCACAGCAGUAUAUUGACCAAAAUGAACUGACAAUAAAUGUAUCUCCUGUUCUCAAACGAUACAUGUAAUUGAAAUAUAGAUAACUACCAAACUAUAAACACUUUUCACUGAUACGAGACAAGGCUGAAAAAAAAAAUUCUUCUAGCACUCCUUUUCCAAGCCAUCAUUGCCCCAAGAUGGUUGCUAUAUAUAUGCCAGAUUAGGAUGGAUGGCCAUUGUCUUCAAAUGAAAGACAUCAACUUGAAGUAUACAAUCAGGUAGAGAGAAAGAGAGAACACUGCACAAAUAUGCUGCCAGAAUAGAAGAGCCGAUGCUUCCUUAACACCAUAUCCUCUCAGGCUGGCAAUUGCUCCAAGCAGGAUAGCGCUUGGCGUGGAGUACUGAAGCGAAAGAACAAAGCGGUACAUAUGGUCUUGCUCAACAAGUAGAUUCAAUUUGUCUGCUAGCGUCACAACACCAAUGCCAAUGCAUGGGAGCACCAAAAGCCUUGCCACAAUUAUACCGACGAUAGUCCUGAUGCCCAAGGCAUUAUCCUUUGGGCCUUCCGCAAGCAUGCCUCCGAGAAUUAACAUCACCGAGGGAACCACUGCAGCAGCUAGGAUAUCCAAACUAUCAGUGAAGAACGAGAGUGGUGCAUCAGCCCCGAACACAAAAUCUUUCAAGACAGGAACCAUGCCGAUGAUAAUGGCAAGCAAAGAGGCAAUUGUCGGUGGCUGAAGGACGUGCUGGAUUGGAGUCUUUUCAGCUACAACCCUGAUCCUUCUGACCAUUAUUGGCUCUGCCAAACAUCUGAGCGACUUAGGACUGCUCGGUCCAGCACCAGAAGUUCCCUCUUCAGUAAAAUCAAUAUCAGGAAAUGUAUUCUGCGAGGAACCUGAAAUGCUCAUGAAAACUCUGGCGAUGAAUGGUGUCUUUGAGUGCUCUGUUACUUUAUCAACCAUCCCUGGCCAUUCCGCCUCAUGAAGCAGAGACCUACUGUAGUUGCUGAUCUGCUCAGGUUCUUCCUGUAUCUCAUUACCCUCACCCACAAUCUCAUAGAACUGCAUAGGUGGCUCCAUCAUGUGGUAGACCAAAGUGUAGACAAGGAUAACCGCAACCCACUGAGCAAAUGAGACAUAAGCGUGUGGUGACUUCAUCAAUCUUAAAGAUCUGCCAGUUCAGUCUCUCGAGGGUGCUCGUAAGAGUAGCUGCGUAUGUAUGUUCAUAAAUAUGUGUACAUGUAUAUGAGUGUCUGCGUGUGCAUUGUGUUUCGGAAAAAAAAACUUACUAAGUUUAUGAGUCAAGGUCACGUGAUCGAGCGAUUGGAAAGUGUGUGCAUGCAACGAGCACAGAGAAACAACUGAGGUGGAAUCAAACGGGACCAGCUUUGGUCUGAUAUAUAUAUAUGUCAUUGGUACAUACUCUCAUUGGUUGAAUCGUAAAACGGCGUCAACCUAAUGUUUUGGUGAAAUGGACCUAAUCAACUGACCUGUACCAUUUUCUGCAUCAGCAUGCUUCUGCUCUUUCCUUUAUGUUAGUCAUAUCCGUGUUUACAAGGAGCAUGCAAACAUUUAGUCGGACACAGCUUAUGCUGCGUGCCGUAUUUUUUCAGCAUCAGAAAAGGCUCUUAAAGACUAGAAAUGGUCGCUUACAUUAUUGCUACACUAUUGCGAAUAUUUGCUACUUCUGUUCAUAGGACACUAUAUCAACAAAAUCUGGAACUAGCACGACAACAACGGUCAACUGGACAGGAUCAGCAAGCAAUAACUUGCUUCAGUUUGACGGAGGAUACGAAAUGACACUGCUACCUGGUGGAAUGUACAUGGGAUACCCAUCAGACAUCAGCAAGUGUGUCGCCCAGUUAGACUCUUUCCAUCUGGAGUUCUGUUGGAUGGAAUCGCCAGGAAAGAGGCAGCGUCUUGUGCGCACUUACGACUCUGCUGGUCUGGCUGUUUCAUCAACCUACUUUCUGGAGAGCAAAGUAUGAAUCACACCUUCCACACCCAAACCCCGAGUAGCAACGGUUUUGUAAGUUCCCUAGCUUCCUCAUUGAUUAGUUUUGCUGUAUGUUGCUCGGUACAUGACAAUUGAGUAUAUAUUGCCACUUGUCAGACAUCAUUGUCUACGCAGAACACAGAAUCAAACGAGUGCUUCAUGCUUCGUUUCGCUCGCAUUCUACCAGUGUUUCAUGCAUCCUCCUUAUACUUCAUUUUGUGUGGGCAUAGAUAGUAAGGUUCAAAUUUGGAGUUUGCCUCUACCUUUUCAAGUGCCCAUGUGGUCGAAACUGAAUAUUAAAGCAUCCUUCAAUCUACAUGAACUCUCGGCUUUUGCCUGCCGCACUUAUCGGAGCCGCUCUACCGCUUAUGCCAGGUAGUGUAUGCAGUAUUGCAGGUUGCAGUAAACUGGUUGGUCAGGCGCUCUGCUGCUGAGAUGGGACGGUAUCGUUUAAGAGCGGACGGGCAUUGCAUCCGCACACUAGCCAUUCAUUUGUGGUCGCUUGUGCUGAGCGCAACUCGAGAGACGACGGCCUUGACUCAUGGGUCAGGGUUGGCGUUCGGUCAUAUCAGUUCGGUCUUUAAAUCAUUUGAAGAUUUCGGUUAGCUGGAAAUGACAACAAAAAUUUGGUGCAAAAUUGUCAAGACUGAACAAUUCACUUGCACUCAGUUCGUGCUCGGGGUCAGUCUCGACCAAACUAACCGAUCAUAAAAUCAUAAAAAAAUAAAAUCAAGCACUACCAGACGUGCCACUGCAUACAACCCACUAACUCUCUCUCUCUCUCAAAGAGAAGAAAAACAAAAGAAGGGUCAACAGGAUCCACAUAAUUAAAAUACAACCCGGUUUCUUAAAAGAAAAGAAAAAGGAAGCAAAAGCUUACCAAGUCUACGAGUCAAGGUCACCGCUGCAUACAACAGUGGCAUUGUGACUCAUUGGGUUGGCGCUCGGUCACAUCGUUUCGGUCUUUAAAUCAUUUGAAUAGUUCGGUUGGGUGGAAAUGACAACCAAUUUUGGUACAAAAUUGUCAAGACCGGUCAGUGCGUUCUCGGGUCACUCUUGACAAAACAAACCGAUCAUAUAUUAGAAAAAAAAUCAAGCAUCACCAGUCUCGACUCUCGAUCGUCAAAAUAUACUAGAAAUAUAGCAGGGUAAUUAGAAUUGCCAGACUUUUUUUAUCUUUUCUUUAUUGUUUAUUUUCUCCUAAAAUUCAAUCGCUUAUAUUAAUGUGGCAUCCUAUCUCUAGAAUAAUGGGAGUAAAGUAAUAUAUCCACGUAAUUAAAAUACAAUGCGGUUUCUAAAAGAAAAAGCAAAAGCUUGCAAAGUUCCUUGUGGUUGAACCUUUGCUUUUUUCUAAAAAAGAAAAAGCAAAAGCUUGCAAAGUUUCUUAGUGUUUGUAUUUUUCUAGAUUUAUUGCAGGAUCUAAACGACGUUAUUCUUUCAGUGGUAAUUGGUCCUAUUUUUACAGUGGUAAAUGGCUCUAUUUCUUUCAGUGGUCAGAAUAACGAGGCGUGUGUGGUGACUUCGUCAAUCUUAAAAUCUGCCAGUUCAGUCUCUCGAGGGUGCUCGUAAGAGUAGAGCUGCGUAUGUAUAUUCAUAAAUGUGCGUACAUGUAUAUGAGUGUCUGCGUGUGCAUUGUGUUUCGGAAAAAAAAAAACUUACUAAGUCUACGAGUCAAGGUCACGUGAUCGAGCGAUUGGAAAGUGUGUGCACGCAACGAGCACGGAGAAACAACUGAGGUGGAAUCAAACGGGACCAGCUAAUAUUAAUACACAACUAAAGUCCUUCUAACUAUUUAAACAACAUCUAUCUAAAUAAUUAGUUUAACCAGCAAAUGGAUUAGCUGGUCCACACAGGAUCUUAUACGGUGGCGACUCGAGCCUUUGAGCGAGCAAGCAUCCCAUUUGUGGCGAGCACACAUACUUCGUCUUCUCGCUCGGCAGAGAGAUAUGAGAGAUACAGAGUGCUGCCGGAGAUAUAAUAGACAAAAGCAGGUGCGGAUCGCUUGCACCAGGAAUGGUUGUUCUUUUCGUUCCAUUUACCCCUGGCACAGCGCUCUUCGAUUUUCUUCUGGUUUCUUGAUAUAUUCGUAUUGACCCGUCCGUGCUCGCCGUGUUUUGGUUUCGCAGGUCUUAGCUAGAUACCUCACAACACGAUGCUCUGCUCGGCGUGUCAAGUGGGAGAUGCUCGUGCUGCUUGCACUAUUGCUUCUUUGCCGUGGAAUCGGAAGCACCCAUGGCUCACCGGACGACCACGCCGGCGACAGCGACAUGAUGUCGCUGCUGGAUUUCAAGAGGGCCAUCACCAGCGACCCAAAGCGAGCUCUGGCCUCAUGGAACACAAGCAACCCCCUGUGCAGGUGGGCGGGGGUCACGUGCGGCCGGGCGCACCAGGGGCGUGUGAUCACAUCGCUGGAACUCGCAGGCCAGGGCCUCGAAGGUGAAAUCACCUCCUCUCUUGGAAAUCUAACGUUUUUGAGGACGCUGAACCUGUCCGCGAACAGCUUCUCCGGCCGCUUGCCUCCUCUGGGCCGUCUUAGCAAACUGGAGGUCCUUGAUCUGAGCCAGAACUUCUUGUACGAUACUAUCCCAGACGGAAUCGCCAAUUGCUCCAGCCUUCGUAUACUUGACCUCUCUAAAAACUUUCUAGUCGGUGAACUCCAUCCUAAAGUUGGCUUAAUUUCUGAUCUCUCAGCUUUAAAUCUAUAUCGGAAUAUACUCACAGGAACCAUCCCACCGUCCCUCGGCAAUAUGACUCACCUAGAAAACCUCAAUCUAGGAGGUAAUAAUCUGUCGGGAAGUAUCCCAGCUGAACUUGGAAAAUUAUCGAAUUUGUCGAUCUUGUUUCUAGGUGAAAAUAGAUUAUCAGGCGGCAUACCACAGUCCUUGUUUAAUCUGUCCUCUCUACAUGCCCUAGCCUUGGAUGGGAAUACGCUACGAGGAGUGUUGCCGCCAAACAUUGGUGAUGCGCUCCCUAAUCUCCGAGGGUUGUUUUUAGACAACAACAUGUUUGGUGGUCACAUCCCAGCUUCCAUAGGCAACUGCUCAAAGAUAGAGGAUAUAUAUUUAGGAUCUAACAAUUUCUCUGGUCCCGUUCCUCGUUCUUUCGGCAAGCUUUCAAAAUUGAUUAGCCUUCUCCUCCAUGAAAACAUGAUUGAAGCAAGCAACGAUGAAAGUUGGGGAUUCUUACAUGCAAUGGGAAACUGUACUCUUCUACAAACGAUUUUCCUAGAUUAUAAUCAGCUACAGGGAGGCAUACCGAGUUCAAUUGGCAACAUGUCUGUUAAUCUUCAAUAUUUGGCAUUGUCAGGAAACCGCCUCUCAGGAACAGUUCCCCCAAGCAUAGGGAACCUUCAUGGCCUAAUAUAUCUGUCGCUAGGUAACGAUCUUGCUGGUACAAUUGAAGGAAGGUUUGAAAAGAUGACGCAUUUACAACAUUUGUAUCUCGAGGCAAACAAUUUCACUGGGGCCAUUCCACCAUCUAUUGGGAAUCUUACUAACUUGACAGAACUCAGACUAUCAGAGAAUGCAUUCAGCGGCCACAUACCAGCUAGCUUGGGAAAUCUUCAAUUCCUUGCUUCUCUUAACAUUAGUAACAACAAUCUCAGUGGUAAAAUACCAGUUACCUUGGGGAAUCUCCAACAGCUCACAUUCAUGGAUCUUGGUAACAAUAAUCUCGGUGGUAAAAUACCACGUACCUUGGGGAAUCUCCAACAACUCAUAGAGAUGGACCUUGGCAACAAUAAUCUCAGUGGUAAAAUACCAGUUACCUUGGGGAAUCUCCAACAGCUUAUAGUAAUGGACCUUAGUCACAACAACCUCGAAGGUGAUAUACCAUCCAAUUUGGGAGAUCUUGUUCAACUCCAACACCUGGAUCUUAGCGACAACAAACUUAAAGGUAUCAUACCUUAGGAAGUCAUUCUGUACACGCACAAUAUUCAGCUGCACCAUCCUGUAAUAGUACUUGUUUCAAGGGUCAAUACGCGUAGAUCGCAAGUUUGCUCCACCAAUCUCACCGUCCCACGGUGGACUAAUAGCGAACCUUACAUGAGAUGUACAUGUAAUUCACUGUGAGCCGAUUGCUCCGAUGUAAACAUCCCAUAAUCUCAUUUUUGUGGUACAACUUCCUGGUAUGUUAAUGGCAUGAAAAUCGUUUCUUGAAACUCCAUUGUUGGGAGAUAACCGGCCAUGUUAUUUGACGGGCCAAGCCAGCAGCCCUGCUUUAGGCUUUAGCAUCCUUCUUCUUUCUUUCACCCUUCGCACGUCAAUCUUCAUAGGACUGCAGAGAAACACGGGUAUGUAGAGUGUCACAAGUUCUAUUUUUUAAGAAAAAAGUGUCACAAGUGAAGUGGAUGCACGAAUGGAACCAGGUUCUGUUUAGCUAUCACUAUCAGCGAUCUGGAGAUUGAGAGAAAAACCUGCCUCCGCACCAUUAUCGGUCUCGCCUGCCCUUACCAGCUCACGGAAUUUGACGGGUCAGGGCCAACCCUGCUGCCGCUGUUGCGGUGAUUCCGAGCGCUCUUAAACGGCAUCGUCCCGAGGCAGCCGAUCAAGAGCAACUUAUCGCCCGGCCGGGAUGAGGAUCAGCUGAGCGGCUUCAAUCGGUACGGGCGUACGGCAAACCGACAACCGAGGGCCAAAGGUCGCCGCCGGACUCGAUCGCCGUGUGCUCCGGCGUACUCCCUUGACCCUUGCCGGCCGGUUCGCCGCGUCUGGAAAUCUGUCCGAUCCAACCUGGUAAUAAUCUCCCAGACGGGGACAGUUCUUCAGUAGUUCAGCUCAACUUGCAUCCUGGCAAAGCCAUCAAACUCGUAUGUUCUUUCUUUUUUCGUUUUAUUUGUGUACCCGUGUGCUGACAUGACAUCUUCAUGCGUGGCACCUUGCAGAGAUAUCGAGCUCCUGAGGUGAACGAAGGGAAGCCCACCAUGCCUGUAACACUGCCGCUGCUGCUGCUGCUGUGCAUCGGACGUGUAUGCAGUAUUGCACGCAGGUUGCAGACUUGCAGUAAACUGGUUGGUCAGGCGCUCUGCUGCUGCGAUGGGACGAUAUCGUUUAAGAGCGGGCGGGCAUUGCAUCCGCACAUUAGCCAUUCAUUUGCGAUCGCUCGUGCUGAGCGCAACUCGAGGGGCGACGACCUUGACUCAUGGGUUGGUGUUCGGUCGUAUCGGUUCGGUCUUUAAAUCAUUUGAAGAGUUCGGUUACCUGGAAAUGAAACAAAAAAUUGGCACAAAACUGUCAGGACUGAACAAUUCAGUUUCGGUCAGUUCGUGCACAGGUCAGUUUUGACCGAACUAACCGAUCAUAAUUUAUAUGAAAAAAGAUAAAAUCAAGCCCCAUCAGUCUCGAUCGUCAAAAUGUACUAGAAAUAGCUUUUCGUAAAAAAUAUACCAGAAAUAUAGCAGGGUAAUUAGGAUAGCCAAGCUUUUUUUUAUCUUGUACUUAUUGUUUCUUUCCUCCUAAAGUUCAGUCGCUUAUAUUUAUUUGACAUCUUAUAUCCCUUAGAAGGUAAUCGAAGUAAAGUAACAGGUCCACACAUACUUAAAAUACAACCCGGUUUCUCAAAAGCAAAAAGCAAAAGCUUACCGAGUCUACGAGUCUUUCGAAAAAAACAGUCUAAUACGAGUCAAGGUCACCGCAGCAUGCAACAGCAGCGUGAUUGAGCGAUCGGAAAGUGUGUGGAUGCAACGAGCACAAAGGAAUAGAUUUAUACGGGCACGCAUACUUCGUCUUCUCGCUUGGCAGAAAGAUAGGGGAGAUACAGUUCCGAGUGUUGCCGGAGUUCAAAUAAACCAAAGCGGGCGCGGAUCGCUUGGACCAGGAAUGGUUGUUCUUUUCGUUCAAUUUACCCCUGGCACAGCGCUCUUCGAUUUUCUUCUUCCUUUCUUUUGGUUUCUUGAUAUAUUCGUAUUGACCCGUCUGUGCUCGCCGUGUUUUGGUUUCACAGGUCUUAGCUAGAUACCUCCUAACACGAGGCUCCGCUCGGCGUGUCAAGUGGGAGAUGCUCGUGCUGCUUGGACUAUUGCUUCUUUGCCGUGGAACCGGCAGCACCCAUGGCUCACCGGACGACCACGCCGGCGACGGCGACAUGAUGUCGCUGCUGGAUUUCAAGAGGGCCAUCACCAGCGACCCAAAGCGAGCUCUGGCCUCAUGGAACACAAGCAACCUCCUGUGCAGCUGGGCGGGGUCACGUGCGGCCGGCCGCACCGGGGGCGUGUGAUCACAUCGCUGGGACUCGCAGGCCAGGGCCUCGAAGGUGAAAUCACCUCCUCUCUUGAAAAUCUCACGUUUCUGAGGACGCUGAACCUGUCCGAGAACAGCUUCUCCGGCCGCUUGCCUCCUCUAGGCCGUCUCGGCAAACUGGAGGUCCUUGAUCUGAGCCGGAACUCGUUGCGCGAUGCUAUCCCAGAUGGAAUCGCCAAUUGCUCCAGCCUUCGUAUACUUGACCUCUCUGACAACUCUCUAGUCGGUGAACUCCACCUAAAACUUGGCUUAAUUUCUGAUUUCUCAGUUUUAAAUUUAUAUCAGAAUAGACUCACAGGAACCAUCCCACCGUCCCUCGGCAAUAUGACUCACCUAGAAGAACUCUAUCUAGGAAAUAAUAGCCUGUCAGGAAGUAUCCCUGCUGAGCUUGGAAAAUUAUCGAAUUUGUCGAUCUUGUUUCUAGAUAAAAAUAGUUUAUCAGGCGGCAUACCGCAGUCCUUGCUUAAUCUGUCCUCUCUACGGCAUCUAGUUUUGGGUCAUAAUAAGCUAGGGGGAGUGUUGCUGCCAAACAUUGGUGAUGCGCUCCCUAAUCUCCGAUGGUUGAUUUUACACGACAACUCUCUAGUCGGUGAACUCCACCCUAAACUCGGCUUACUUUCUGGUCUCUCAGCUUUAGAUCUACACGGGAAUAGACUCAGAGGAACCAUCCCACCGUCCCUCGACAAUAUGACUCACCUAAAAGUACUCGGUCUAGAAAAUAAUAGCCUGUCAGGAAGUAUCCCUGCUGAGCUUGGAAAAUUAUCGAAUUUGUCGAUCUUAUCUCUAGGUAAAAAUAGAUUAUCAGGCGGCAUACCACGUUACUUGGGAAAUCUCCAACAACUCAGGUGGAUGGAACUUGAUAACAACAAUCUCAGGGGUAAAAUACCAGUUACCUUGGGGAAUCUCCAACAGCUCAGAUUGAUGGAUUUUAGUCACAGCAAUCUCAGUGGUAAAAUACCACGUACCUUGGGGAAUCUCCAGCAACUCAUAAUGAUGAACCUCAGUAACAACAAUCUUAGAGGUAAAAUACCAGUUACCUUGGGGAAUCUCCAACAGCUUACAUUGAUGGAUCUUAGUCACAACAAUCUCAGUGGUAAAAUACCACGUACUUUGGGGAAUCUCCAACAACUCAUGUGGAUGGACCUUAAUAACAAUAAUCUCCGUGGUAAAAUACCACGUACAUUGGGGAAUCUCCAACAGCUCUCAUCCAUGGAUCUUAGUCACAACAAUCUCGAAGGUGAUAUACCAUCCAAUUUGGGUGACCUUGGUCUACUCUACCACCUGGAUCUUAGCGACAACAAACUUAAAGGUAUCAUACCUUAGGAAGUCAUUCUGUAAUUGCACACUAUUCAGCCGCACCAUCCUGUAAUAGUACUCGUUUCAAGGUUCAAUACGCGUAGAUCGCAAGUUUGCUCCAGCAAUCUCACCGCGCCACGGUGGACUGGAAGCGAGCCUCACUUGAGAAAUACAUGUAAUUCACUGUGAGCUGAUUCGUCUGAUGAAAAGAUCCCAUGAUCUCAUUUUUGUGGUACACCUUCCUGGUAUAUGUUAAUGACACGAAAAGUGUUUCCUGUUUGCUACUGGCAUAAACUUGAUCUCUUUUUUUCCAACCUUCGCACGUCAAUUUUUCAUAGUCGUACGAGUGCAGAGAGAAAAGGCUACGUAAAGUGUCACAAGAAAGUGGAUGCACGAACGGAAUUACGGCUGUUUAACUAUCACUAUCAGUUGGAGUGGCUUCAAUCGGCACGACGGCAAACCGAGCGCCAAAGGCCGCCGCCGCACUCGAUCGCCGAAGCCGGCCGACUUCAGUUGGACGGGUUGCCGGUUCGCUGCAGCUACAUCUGCAGACCUGUCGGACACGGGGGACAGUUCUUCAGUUCAACUUGCAUCCUGGCAAAGCCAUCAAACUCGUAUGUUCUUUUUUUUUCGUUUUAUUUGUGUACUCGUGUGCUGACAUGACAUCUUCAUGCGUGGCACCUUGCAGAGAUAUCGAGCUUCUGAGGUGAACGAAGGGAAGCACACCAUGCCUGUAACACUGCCGCUGCUGCUGCUGUUCUGCAUCGGGCGUGUAUGCAGUAUUGCACACAGGUUGCAGUAAUAAAUACAAUCCGGUUUCUCAAAAACAAAAAGCAAAAGCUUACCAAGUCUACGAGUCUUUCGAAAAAAUAAUCUACGAGUCAAGGUCACCGCAGCAUGCAACAACAGCGUGAUUGAGCGAUCGGAAAGUGUGUGGAUGCAACGAGCACCAAGGAAUAGAUUUAUACGGGCACGCAUACUUCGUCUUCUCGCUUGGCAGAAAGCUAGAUAGGGUAGAUACAGUUCCGAGUGUUGCCGGAGUUCAAAUAAACCAAAGCGGGUGCGGAUCGCUUGGACCAGAAAUGGUUGUUCUUUUCGUUCAAUUUACCCCUGGCAUAGCGCUCUUCGAUUUUCUUCUUUCUUUCUUUUGGUUUCUUGAUAUACUCGUAUUGACCCGUCUGUGCUCGCCGUGUUUUGGUUUCACAGGUCUUAGCUAGAUACCUCACAACACGAGGCUCUGCUUGGCGUGUCAAGUGGGAGAUGCUCGUGCUGCUUGCACUAUUGCUUCUUUGCCGUGGAAUCGGCAGCACCCAUGGCUCACCGGACGACCACGCCGGCGACGGCGACAUGAUGUCGCUGCUGGAUUUCAAGAGGGCCAUCACCAGCGACCCAAAGCGAGCUCUAGCCUCAUGGAACACAAGCAACCCCUUGUGGAGGUGAGCUGGGGUCGCGUGCGGCCGGGCGCACCGGGGGCGUGUGAUCUCGUUGGGACUCUUAGAUCAAGGCCUCGAAGGUGAAAUCACCUCCUCUCUUGAAAAUCUCACGUUUCUGAGGACGCUGAACCUGUCCGAGAACAGCUUCUCCGGUCGAUUGCCUCCUCUGGGUCGUCUCGGCAAGCUGAAGGUCUUUGAUCUGAGCCGGAACUCGUUGCGCGAUGCUAUCCCAGAUGGAUUGGCCAAUCGCUCCAGCCUUCGUAUACUUGACCUGUCUUACAACUCUCUAGUCGGUGAACUUCAUCCUAAACUUGGCUUAAUUUCUAGUCUCUCAGCUUUAUUUCUACGUCAGAAUAGACUCACAGAAACCAUCCCACCGUCCCUCGGCAAUACGACUCACCUAGAAAUACACGAUCUAGGAAAUAAUAGGCUGUCAGGAAGUAUCCCUGCUGAGCUUGGAAAAUUAUCGAAUUUGUCGAUCUUGUUUCUAGAUAAAAAUAGUUUAUCAGGCGGCAUACCGCAGUCCUUGCUUAAUCUAUCCUCUCUACGGCAUCUAGUUUUGGGUCGGAAUAAGCUAGGGGGAGUGGUACCACCAAACAUUGGUGAUGCUCUCCCUAAUCUCCGAUGAUUUUCUUUAUACGACAACAUGUUUGGUAGUCACAUCCCAGCUUCCAUUGGCAACUGCUCAAAGAUAGAGUCUAUCUAUUUAGGAUCUAACAAUUUCUCUGGUCCAGUUCCUCGUUCUUUCGGCAAGCUUACCUGUUCUUUGACAAGUUUCUUCUAGAGAUUGCACCAUGCUUGCCUGCUUGGUGAACUUGAAGCAAACCUUCCAAAAGAAAAUACAAUAUUUACUUGUCAGCGGAGUUGUCUAAUGUAAAUAUUUCAGAAUCCCUGGUACACUUUCCAGUGAUAUGUUAAAACAACUGACGAAAAAAUUCUUUUGUUUUUGUUAUUUGCAUCAACCUGUUCUCCCAGAAACACUCAAGUGCUAUAUGAUACUGUAUUACGCAAAUCAGAACACCUGCAGCACUGCAAAGAAAUCUGUUUUGCCUUUGAAGGUCGAAACUGUAUACACAUAUAUAAUUUUCGAGUUCCAAUCCAUUUUUUCAAAGAAAAUAAGAUGAUGUAUAGCAUGCUUCUGAUAACCAUGAUGCUGUACAAAAAAAUUGCAACUAGCGCAUGUAUCAUGGCAACUUUAAUCAAAAGAAAAAUAGAGAAAUCUCCCAUGCUACAGUGGACGGGAUCUUUGCUCCUCUGAGGCAAAACGGGUAAUCCUACCUACAGGCUGGGAGGAUGGCUCCCCAGAACAAUAGAGAAAUCUCACCAUUGUUGUCAGAUAGCAAGGUCGUCUGAUGGUUUUCAGUCUUUCACAAGAAGCACGAACACCAAUCAUCUUUGUUUAUUAAGCAUCGGACAAAAAUGUAAUUCACCACUAUAUAGUACUAUUAAUAUUAUACAGUCAAUAAUUUGUAUGCAGCAAUAGUAUCAUGAAACUCACAGCAAUAUAUUGACCAAAAUGAACUGACAAUAAAUGUAUCUCCUGUUCUCAAACGAUACAUGUAAUUGAAAUAUAGAUAACUACCAAACUAUAAACACUUUUCACUGAUACGAGACAAGGCUGAAAAAAAUAAUUCUUCUAGUACUCCUUUUCCAAGCCAUCAUUGCCCCAAGAUGGUUGCAAUAUAUAUGCCAGAUUAGGAUGGAUGGCCAUUGUCUUCAAAUGAAAGACAUCAACUUGAAGUACACAAUCAGGUAGAGAGAAAGGGAGAACACUGCACAAAUAUGCUGCCAGAAUAGAAGAGCCGAUGCUUCCUUAACACCAUAUCCUCUCAGGCUGGCAAUUGCUCCAAGCAGGAUAGCGCUUGGCGUGGAGUACUGAAGCGAAAGAACAAAGCGGUGCGUAUGGUCUUGCUCAACAAGUAGAUUCAAUUUGUCUGCUAGCGUCACAACACCAAUGCCAAUGCAUGGGAGCACCAAAAGCCUUGCCACAAUUAUACCGACGAUAGUCCUGAUGCCCAAGGCAUUAUCCUUUGGGCCUUCCGCAAGCAUGCCUCCGAGAAUUAACAUCACCGAGGGAACCACUGCAGCAGCUAGGAUAUCCAAACUAUCAGUGAAGAACGAGAGUGGUGCAUCAGCCCCGAACACAAAAUCUUUCAAGACAGGAACCAUGCCGAUGAUAAUGGCAAGCAAAGAGGCAAUUGUCGGUGGCUGAAGGACGUGCUGGGUUGGAGUCUUUUCAGCUACAACCCUGAUCCUUCUGACCAUUCUUGGCUCUGCCAAACAUCUGAGCGACUUAGGACUGCUUGGUCCAGCACCAGAAGUUCCCUCUUCAGUAAAAUCAAUAUCAGGAAAUGUAUUCUGCGAGGAACCUGAAAUGCUCAUGAAAACUCUGGCGAUGAAUGGUGUCUUUGAGUGCUCUGUUACUUUAUCAACCAUCCCUGGCCAUUCCGCCUCAUGAAGCAGAGACCUACUGUAGUUGCUGAUCUGCUCAGGUUCUUCCUGUAUCUCAUUACCCUCACCAACAAUCUCAUAGAACUGCAUAGGUGGCUCCAUCAUGUGGUAGACCAAAGUGUAGACAAGAAUAACCGCAACCCACUGAGCAAAUGAGGCAUAAGCGUGUGGUGACUUCAUCAAUCUUAGAGAUAUGCCAGUUCAGUCUCUCGAGGGUGCUCGUAAGAGUAGCUGCGUAUGUAUGUUCAUAAAUAUGCGUAGUGUUUGUGUGUGCAUUGUGUUUCGGGAAAAAAAACUUACUAAGUCUACGAGUCAAGGUCACGUGAUCGAGCGAUUGGAAAGUGUGUGCAUGCAACGAGCACAGAGAAACAACUGAGGUGGAAUCAAACGGGACCAGCUUUGGUCUGAUAUAUAUAUACUUAUGCACUUUGUACAUACUCUCAUUGUUUGAAUCGUAAAACGGCGUCAACCUAAUGUUUUGGUGAAAUGGACCUAAUCAACUGACCUGUACCAUUUUCUGCAUCAGCAUGCUUCUGCUCUUUGCUUUAUGUUAGUCAUAUCCGUGUUUACAAGGAGCAUGCAAGCAUUUAGUCGGACACAGCUUAUGCUGCGUGCCGUAUUUUUUCAGCAUCAGAAAAGGCUCUUAAAGAAUAGAAAUGGUUGCUUACAUUAUUGCUACACUAUUGCGAAUAUUUAGCUGCUACUGUUCAUAGGACACUAUAUCAACAAAAUCUGGAACUAGCACGACAACAACGGUCAACUGGACAGGAUCAGCAAGCAAUAACUUGCUUCAGUUUGACGGAGGAUACGAAAUGACACUGCUACCUGGUGGAAUGUACAUGGGAUACCCAUCAGACAUCAGCAAAUGUGUCGCCCAGUUAGACUCUUUCCACCUGGAGUUCUGUUGGAUGGAAUCGCCAGGGAAGAGGCAGCGGCUCGUGCGCACUUACGACCAGUGGCGGAGGACGCCGAAAAUUUUAGGUGUGGCGGACGGGGCUGCGGGCGGCGGCGCGCGGGGCCUGCGGCGGCGGGGCAGCGGGCGCGGGAGCCUGCGGCUGCAGGGCGGCGGGCGCGGGGCCUGCGCGGCGGGAGCCUGGGGCUGCGGACUGGCGGUGGAUUACUAGAUUAUGUUUAAAUAUUAUACGGAAAUAAAGGUUCACAAUAAAAAUAUGGUUUAGAAGUACCUCAAAUGAAGAAAAACACGUAAAGUACGCAUCAAAUCAACAAUUGGACCAAAGAAGCUGUCAAACAAAGAGAAAACAUAAAUUAGUAACGAAAUAUUAGAGUUAAAAUAUUAAAUGUAAUACAAGAUACACAAUGCUAAUUACUUUAGCAAACAGCCAAGAUACUGGUGAAUGGUGCCCAAAUGAGAACGAUGCAGAUUGCAGAACAUAUAGUUUCAUAGAUUACACAUCUACAGAUAUACUCAAUGACAAAGAUGAAAAAACAUAGUUACGCAUAUACUUACCGGCUACCGCACGUAAAGCCUUUGCCCUUAUUACAGGAGAAUUUUCUCUCAAGCUAGCCUGAAAAAACACUGGGUAUUAACUCUAGAACAUCUAGACUAAAAUGAUAUGUCAGGAAUCAACCACGUACCAAAAGAAGGGCAAGAAUUUGGCAUUGAUACAAUUUAGCAAUAUAGAAAUUAGCUACCAGCAAUUGAUACAAACAUUAUAAUGGCGACACAUGAUCACCUAAGGUCCACAAUUCAUAAUGAUCAGAUUGUAUAAUUAGGUGCAUACAGUUUUCUUCUCAUAAGAAUUGAGUGACCUAAAGAACUGAUUGUAAACCACCCAGACUCAAAUGUUCACCAAUCAAAUAGUGAUUGACAUGGCACAUUACUUGUAAAACCGAGUAAAGGCAAACACUACUCUACACGCAUAAUAUUCAGACUACAUAUGAUGUUCAGAAAUUAUAGACCAGACAAAUUCCACCCAAAAUCAUUAUCCUGUCUGCAAUCAAUAAAAGAACAGAGCCACAACCUAGGAUAGAUUUUAUGUGCCAAGUAGUAACUCAUACAUCUUAUACAAAAAGAAAUUGCUGUAGAGAGACAGAGAGAGUGACACACAUAUAGAGAGGGAUGCAAACGACGCUUGGCCAGGGAGAGUUGGGGCACAUAAUGUGAUUAUUGUGAUAGGAAAAAGGUUUGAGUCAUUGAGUGCCUGGUGAAGAAGAUGACCUGAUGCGUCGGACAGCAGGAGGCGGUGCAGGCGUGCAGCCGAUUGACUCCAACCUGCGGCUGCGGGCGGCGGCCGGCAGCGCGCGGGGGCGGGGGCGCGGGGCCGCGGGCGGCGGGCGGCGGCCGGCGGCGCGCGGGGGCGGGGCUGCGGGCGGCGGGGGCGGGGGCGCGGGGCCGCGGGCGGCGGGCGGCGGCCGGCGGCGCGCGGGGCGGGGCUGCGGGCGGCGGGCGCGGGGCCGCGGGGCCGCGGGCGGCGGGCGGCGGCCGGCGGCGCGCGGGGGCGGGGCUGCGGGCGGCGGGCGCGGGGCCGCGGGGCCGCGGGCGGCGGCCGGCGGGCGGCGGCGCGCGGGGGCGGGGUCCUGCGGGCGGCGGGCGGGCGGGGGCGGGGGUGCGGGAGGGCAUUGCAGGCGGCGGGCGGGUGGGGAAUGGAUAGGGUAAAAUUUUUCUGUUGGGCUGGGCCGGGCCGAGGUAUGGCGAACGCCAUACCUCGCCACAUUGGGCCCUCCGCCCCUGCUUACGACUCUGCUGGUCUGGCUGUUUCAUCAACCUACUUCCUGGAGAGCAAAGUAUGAAUCGCACCUUCCACACCCAAACCCCGAGUAGCAACGGUUUUGUAAGUUCCCUAGCAACCUCAUUGAUUAGUUUUGCUGUAUGUUGCUCGGUACAUGACAAUUGAGUAUAUAUUGCCACUUGUCAGACAUCAUUGUCUACGCAGAACACAGAAUCAAACGAGUGCUUCAUUCUUCGUUUCGCUCGCAUUCUACCAGUGUUUCAUGCAUCCUCCUUAUACUUCAUUUUGUGUGG
rnacentral:lncRNA from 1 species